rnacentral:rRNA from 1 species
GGGGACGGAGAAGGCUAGGCCAGCUUGGCGUUGGUUGUCCAAGUUUAAGGUGGUAGGCUGAAAUCUUAGGUAAAUCCGGGGUUUCAAGGCCGAGAGCUGAUGACGAGUCGUCUUUUAGAUGACGAAGUGGUUGAUGCCAUGCUUCCAAGAAAAGCUUCUAAGCUUCAGGUAACCAGGAACCGUACCCCAAACCGACACAGGUGGUCGGGUAGAGAAUACCAAGGCGCUUGAGAGAACUCGGGUGAAGGAACUAGGCAAAAUGGCACCGUAACUUCGGGAGAAGGUGCGCCGGCUAGGGUGAAGGAUUUACUCCGUAAGCUCUGGCUGGUCGAAGAUACCAGGCCGCUGCGACUGUUUAUUAAAAACACAGCACUCUGCAAACACGAAAGUGGACGUAUAGGGUGUGACGCCUGCCCGGUGCCGGAAGGUUAAUUGAUGGGGUUAGCGCAAGCGAAGCUCUUGAUCGAAGCCCCGGUAAACGGCGGCCGUAACGAUAACGGUCCUAAGGUAGCGAAAUUCCUUGUCGGGUAAGUUCCGACCUGCACGAAUGGCGUAACGAUGGCGGCGCUGUCUCCACCCGAGACUCAGUGAAAUUGAAAUCGCUGUGAAGAUGCAGUGUAUCCGCGGCUAGACGGAAAGACCCCGUGAACCUUUACUGUAGCUUCGCACUGGACUUUGAGCCUGCUUGUGUAGGAUAGGUGGGAGGCUUUGAAGCGUGGACGCCAGUUCGCGUGGAGCCAUCCUUGAAAUACCACCCUGGCAUGCUUGAGGUUCUAACUCUGGUCCGUAAUCCGGAUCGAGGACAGUGUAUGGUGGGCAGUUUGACUGGGGCGGUCUCCUCCUAAAGAGUAACGGAGGAGUACGAAGGUGCGCUCAGACCGGUCGGAAAUCGGUCGCAGAGUAUAAAGGCAAAAGCGCGCUUGACUGCGAGACAGACACGUCGAGCAGGUACGAAAGUAAGUCUUAGUGAUCCGGUGGUUCUGUAUGGAAGGGCCAUCGCUCAACGGAUAAAAGGUACUCCGGGGAUAACAGGCUGAUACCGCCCAAGAGUUCAUAUCGACGGCGGUGUUUGGCACCUCGAUGUCGGCUCAUCACAUCCUGGGGCUGAAGCCGGUCCCAUGGGUAUGGCUGUUCGCCAUUUAAAGUGGUACGCGAGCUGGGUUUAGAACGUCGUGAGACAGUUCGGUCCCUAUCUGCCGUGGACGUUUGAGAUUUGAGAGGGGCUGCUCCUAGUACGAGAGGACCGGAGUGGACGAACCUCUGGUGUUCCGGUUGUCACGCCAGUGGCAUUGCCGGGUAGCUAUGUUCGGAAAAGAUAACCGCUGAAAGCAUCUAAGCGGGAAACUUGCCUCAAGAUGAGAUCUCACUGGGAACUUGAUUCCCCUGAAGGGCCGUCGAAGACUACGACGUUGAUAGGCUGGGUGUGUAAGCGUUGUGAGGCGUUGAGCUAACCAGUACUAAUUGCCCGUGAGGCUUGACC